UACAGGGGGUGCAAACGUUGCUCGGAAUUAUUGGGCGUAAAGCGCGCGUAGGCGGUUAUUUAAGUCGGAUGUGAAAGCCCUCGGCUCAACUGGGGAAGUGCAUCCGAAACUGAAUGGCUUGAGUACGAAAGAGGAUCGCGGAAUUCCCGGUGUAGAGGUGAAAUUCGUAGAUAUUGGGAGGAACACCUGUGGCGAAAGCGGCGCACUGGACCAUAACUGACGCUGAUGCGCGAAAGCUAGGGGAGCAAACAGG
rnacentral:rRNA from 1 species